rnacentral:tRNA from 1 species
GGCCGCCUGGCGAAAUGGUAUCGCGUCUGACUACGACUCGUAUAAAUCAGGAGAUUGCAGGUUCGAGCCCUGCGGUGGUCA